AUAAGGUUCAAUCCGUUUUGCUGGUUGGCUUCAAAUUUAGCUCCUCAGAAGCCCUAACUUAUCUAUUCUUUUUAUCUUGGCCUUGGCAUCUAUUCAGUACAGUAAUCCAUGCAUCUAAUCUUUUUUUUUUUCCUCCUCCCCUCUCAGGUUUAGCUGGUGGAUCACAUUGUGAAAUCUGCAGCUGUGAAAGGCCUUCCAUUUAUUGCACCCUUCAAAACGAAAUAUUAGCAUGGGAGGCUAAGCUGGGAAUUACGGUGUAGUGUCUUCAAGUUCUGGUUCACAAGUACCUCCGUGACAGUACAAGGAGAGCUGUCAAUAAGGAAUGGAGGCUAAUAACGAAGGAGUCAGUGAAGGAGACCAAUGCCAUGAGGGUUAUCUUGCAGCCCCAGAUGCUGGAUAAGUUGAAGGAGGCAGACUCGCUUUUGGAUGACAUUCAGGAAGGCCUUGAAUGAUUAUUUGGCGAAGAAAAGGCUAUUCUUUCCAAGGUAAACAGUCCAUUUCAUCUGUCUGUUGUAGGUGUUGGUUUAAAAUAUGUUUAUAUAAAUACCUAUAAAUUUCUUUUUUUCUUUUUUCUUCUUUUAUUUUUUUGAUCAUUGUUUAGGUUUUUGUCUUGAUGCAACAAAGAUCGCUCAGGAAUCCUUUUUGACACAAAGGAUCCACUCCACGUCCAACCACACCUAAAGAAAUGCUUUGAAGGAGUUGCCAAGCUCACUUUUAAUCAUGAGAAAGAAAUUACCCACAUGGAGUCAGCAGAAAAUGAAAAAGUAGAGCUCGUGCUGCGAAUAAUUCCAGCAAGUGCCAAGGGGCUAGUUGAGAAAUGGCUUCAUGAGUGUAUGAUCAUCCAGCAAGGAUGCAAACCUGGAACAGGCGGAAAUCUAUCAAUCAAUCAGCUUAGUCCUCUGCUAGAGAUUUUUGGUGCUAUCAUCAGCGGGGCUUGGCUCAGAAACCAGACCUGCAAAUGAAAUCAAGCUGAAGCUUUUUAGGAAAUCUGUCAGAGUGGAACCCAUACUUCAUUGAAAUCAAAACUACUAUCUACUUCACAAAGAUAAGUCUUCAUCUCAGAUGAUUAGGCUGAAUUUAUGACUCCUGCGGGUUGUGCAUGAUUUUUGAAUGCGCACAUGCACGUGUGAUUUUUGAACGCUCUGAGCUGAUGCUGUGUUCGUAGGUCCUUUAAAACAUUUCCUUCAGUUUUUCAGCUAGCCAGAAGAAAGAAUUUGCCCUUCAAAACAGAAUGCGAGGAAAUGUGCUACCCACAGAUCUUGACCCCAGCUUCAUAUCGCUCUCAUUUUAUAUAGCUAUGGGGCAACUGUUGCAAAUGGCAGUGGAGUUAUCUUCCCUUCCACAGGCUCGGAGGCUAGACACUCUUCUUUUAACUGGAAGAAGGUUUUAUGGCUCUGUAGUCCAGCAAGUCUGCUGAGCUCCUGUGCCUUUCCUCUUAAUUUCUUAGGACAGCUUUGCAAGUGGAAUUUGUAAUUGUAUCUGACUGUAUUUUGGUAUGUGAGACUCUGGUAAUUCCAUGGCUUUUGAACAGCUAGUGUCAAAACUGAUAUGCAGGAACAAUUAAUAUAGAUUUGAUACAUUGGCAUUAUGUAGCAUACCAAGCAUAACUGAUUUUUAGAGUUAUAGUGUAUUAUUCUUCUUAGCUGCUGCAUGUCUCUCCAUAAAUGAACAUGUAGGCACUAGACUCCAAAGGGAUCUAUAUUUUUUUAUAUACAUAUGUAUUUAUAUCAAGGUGCAUUUUUCUUCAUUCCUAUAUAUUUCCAUCAGUUCCAUCCACAUAUUUUCCAGGUAGCUUCAGAUUAUAAUGACUUCAAAAUUCUAUUUUAUUUUUAUUGAACUGAUUAGAGAAUGUGCAAAAUCUGGAAAAGGUACUACAUUGAGAUAUCGAUUGUUUCUUAUAUGUAACUAUAUAAAUGCAAGUAUCCAAGAAGUCACUACAGAUUGUAAUAACAUUAUAAUAGC
ensembl:lncRNA